rnacentral:lncRNA from 1 species
AAUGAUAUGGAAGAGGGACCUGCUAAUGAUAUGGUAGAAGGACCUGAGAAUGAAACGGAAGAGGGACCUGGUAAUGUUGUUGAAGGACUUGCAAAUGAGGUUAAAGAGGUUUCUGCAGAUGGUGUUGAAGGGUUUGAAGUGGUAACUACAAGUCAUGUUGAAGAGAGAACACCAAAUCAGAUUGAAGAAGGAACCUCAAAAGAGGUUGGAGAUGUCGAAGUAGAGAUUGAUUAAUUUGUUGCUCACAUUUUUCCUUCUUUCCCUUUCACUAAUCCAGAAGCAGAAGCGGCAAAUGAUGAUGAAGGCACUGGGCAAAUGGCCUGUGAACCUUGCAUGCCAGACUAGCUUUAGAGCAGGAGAAGCAGAAAUGAGUUAUGAACUGGGUGUGAGCUUGUGUUCUAUGAAGUAAUUUUAUGAUUUUGAUUUGGGAUAGUGGGACUUUGGUUGGUAACAUCAUUCAAUCAUUUUGCCCAUGGACGAUAGACCCCGUGGGUUUUUGAUCAAAGAAAGAGAUGUGUUUUAUUCAGGGAAUUGUUCAAUUUUUGUAUGUAAAAAGUAAAGCUGCAUAGAUUUUACUCAUUUGUGUUAAAACUGUUAAUAAUAGGCAGACCGUCGUCUUAGAUUUGUAAAAUAUCAGUCAGAUUAUUGUGACAUUUGAUCCGUUUUUCGCAGGAGAUAAAUGUCUUUCCAUAGGUGUUCUAGACAAUGGUAGAUUCUAAAUUAUGAAUCAGAAAAGGAAAAAUGCUGAGUGUUGGGUUUUCAUUGUUUUCUGUUUUUACUUGAAGCAGCUUUAGAUGUUAAUUUGCGGCCCUCUCUCUUAAUUCUUAAAUCUCAACACAACAAAUCUGAUAAUAAACAAUGUUGAACGGGUGAUCCGCAAUUAGGCAAGAUACAUGCUCGUAAUGAAAACCUGUCCAUCUCUACUAUUAUAAAACUAUUAUAAAACGUGUAUUCUAAAUUAUCAAUUUAUGUUCUGAUAAAAUUACUUUAUUAAGUUGAUU